rnacentral:rRNA from 1 species
AUUGAACGCUGGCGGCAUGCCUUACACAUGCAAGUCGAACGGUAACGGGCCUUCGGGUGCCGACGAGUGGCGAACGGGUGAGUAAUGUAUCGGAACGUACCUUUCAGUGGGGGAUAACGUAGCGAAAGUUACGCUAAUACCGCAUAUUCUGUGAGCAGGAAAGCAGGGGAUCGCAAGACCUUCCCCUGGUUGAGCGGCCGAUAUCAGAUUAGCUAGUUGGUGAGGUAAAAGCUCACCAAGGCGACGAUCGGUAGGGGGUCUGAGAGGAUGAUCCGCCACACUGGGACUGAGACACGGUCCAGACUCCUACGGGAGGCAGCAGUGGGGAAUUUUGGACAAUGGGGGCAACCCUGAUCCAGCCAUGCCGCGUGAGUGAAGAAGGCCUUCGGGUUGUAAAGCUCUUUCGGCCGGGAAGAAAUCGUAUCAGCUAAUACCUGGUGCGGAUGACGGUACCGGCAUAAGAAGCACCGGCUAACUACGUGCCAGCCGCCGCGGUAAGAC